rnacentral:rRNA from 1 species
GAUGAACGCUGGCGGCGUGCCUAAUACAUGCAAGUCGAGCGAACAGACGAGGAGCUUGCUCCUCUGACGUUAGCGGCGGACGGGUGAGUAACACGUGGAUAACCUACCUAUAAGACUGGGAUAACUUCGGGAAACCGGAGCUAAUACCGGAUAAUAUAUUGAACCGCAUGGUUCAAUAGUGAAAGACGGUUUUGCUGUCACUUAUAGAUGGAUCCGCGCCGCAUUAGCUAGUUGGUAAGGUAACGGCUUACCAAGGCAACGAUGCGUAGCCGACCUGAGAGGGUGAUCGGCCACACUGGAACUGAGAAACGGUCCAGACUCCUACGGGAGGCAGCAGUAGGGAAUCUUCCGCAAUGGGCGAAAGCCUGACGGAGCAACGCCGCGUGAGUGAUGAAGGUCUUCGGAUCGUAAAACUCUGUUAUUAGGGAAGAACAAAUGUGUAAGUAACUAUGCACGUCUUGACGGUACCUAAUCAGAAAGCCACGGCUAACUACGUG